AUGGAAUACUGGUCGAUCUCAGUGUUAUCAAUCGUGAUUAGCGUUCUCGUCACUUAUUAUCUGUUCAGAAAGUUUAAUUUUUUUAAAAGACAUGGUAUUAUCCAUAUACCAUUUAUUCCAAUACUAAGUGUCAUGGUACUAAUUAUAUUUCGCCGAAUGUCAUUUGCCAAUUUCACCAGAAAAAUAUACAAUCUGAAUCGAGACGCAAAAUACAUUGGAUUCUACGCUACAACGAAGCCAGUUCUUAUGCUCCGUGAUCCAGAAUUGAUCAAGGAUGUUAUCGUUAAGAAUUUCGAUUCGUUUACCAAUAAUUCCAUUUUCGUUGAUGCUAAUGACUAUGUGCUUUCACAAAAUCUGUUUGGCCUACAAAACACAAAGUGGCGGCACGUAAAAAAACUACUAUCUCCGUUCUUUACGUCCAGUAAGAUGAAGACUAUGUUUUCUUUGAUGUCGAAACAUGCUGCGGAUUUUGCUGAAUUGAUGUCAACACUACCAGCUGACAAAAGCGACGUUAAUAUGAAAGAUGUCUUUGAUAGAUAUACGAAUGAUGUCAUUGCCUUAUGUAUUUACGGAAUGAAGAUCGAUUCUAUAAGAGAUCCGGCAAAUAAGUUCUAUGUUAGUGGCAAAGAUAUAACUCAUAUAUCAGCAUUACUCAUCAUAAAGUACAUUUUUAUUAGAGCCUUUCCAAAGCUCGGACGAAUACUUAAUAUAAAACUUUUAAAUAAUCAAAAAAUGAAAUAUUUUGAAAGCAGAAUAAAGAACGAGAUUGUCAUUCGCGAUGCUGAACACAUUUUACAGUCAGAUAUGAUACAAUUAAUACUGAAUAACAGAGGCAAAGAGGGUCAAAUACAAUUGGAUGUGGACGAUAUUGUCGCGCAAGCCUACGCUUUCUAUUUCGCUGGCUCUGAAACUAGUUCAAGCGUGAUGUCUUUUAUAACGUACCAAAUCGUAGCUAAUCCAAGUGUUCAGGUCAAAUUGCGACAAGAGAUAGAUGAGCUCUUGAACGAAUCGGACGGAAACGUAACUUACGAGGCUGUUAAUAAACUCAAAUAUUUAGAUGCAGUAAUAAAGGAAGCUCUCAGACUUUUUUCACCUUCUGUUAUGGAAAGAGAGUGUGGAAAAGCUUAUAAAUUGCCACCUGCAUUGCCGGGCGAGAAGUCUUUCACUAUAAACAAGGGCAUGAUUAUUUGGAUUCCGUUGAAUGCGAUUCAUCAUGAUGAAAAAUAUUAUGAUAAUCCUGAAGAAUUUCGUCCAGAAAGAUUUUUAAAUAACAAUCAUGAUCCUCCAUUUUAUUUUCCAUUUGGAUUAGGGCCGAGAAUGUGCAUUGGCAGAAGAUUCAGUUUGUUGAUGAUCAAAGUCGUGCUAUUUUAUCUACUAGCACGAUGUGAACUGAAACAAUGCGCCAAAGCUUCGUCAAUUAAAUUUAGCGAGAAAAAUCUGCUAAUGAUGCCGAAGGACGGAUUUUGGUUGAAUAUUCAACAUAGAAAUGACAAAAUUAUAAGAAUUCUCGAGAGAGAAUUACAGCAUGUAGACACAUAAAUGGCAAUGAUGGAUCCACGAGGGCCAUGGCCCUUAGAGUUUUCUUUUUUAAAAAUAUAGCAAAAGAGAUCUUUAUAAACAAAUUUGGUAUUCAGGAGGAAAAAAAUAUUAAUUUAUUCAUAAGAGCCGUUGGUUUUCUGGAGCAAUUGAUCGAUGCGGAGAUCGUAAA